UACGUAGGGUGCAAGCGUUAUCCGGAAUUAUUGGGCGUAAAGAGCUCGUAGGCGGUUUGUCGCGUCUGCUGUGAAAACUGGAGGCUCAACCUCCAGCCUGCAGUGGGUACGGGCAGACUAGAGUGCGGUAGGGGAGAUUGGAAUUCCUGGUGUAGCGGUGGAAUGCGCAGAUAUCAGGAGGAACACCGAUGGCGAAGGCAGAUCUCUGGGCCGUAACUGACGCUGAGGAGCGAAAGCAUGGGGAGCGAAACAGG
rnacentral:rRNA from 1 species